rnacentral:tRNA from 1 species
CGGGGCAUAGCGCAGCCUGGUAGCGUACAUGCCUGGGGGGCAUGGGGUCGCAAGUUCAAAUCUUGCUGUCCCGACCA